GACGAACGCUGGCGGCGUGCUUAACACAUGCAAGUCGAACGGAAAGGCCCUGCUUUUGUGGGGUGCUCGAGUGGCGAACGGGUGAGUAACACGUGAGUAACCUGCCCUUGACUUUGGGAUAACUUCAGGAAACUGGGGCUAAUACCGGAUAGGAGCUCCUGCUGCAUGGUGGGGGUUGGAAAGUUUCGGCGGUUGGGGAUGGACUCGCGGCUUAUCAGCUAGUUGGUGGGGUAGUGGCUUACCAAGGCUUUGACGGGUAGCCGGCCUGAGAGGGUGACCGGCCACAUUGGGACUGAGAUACGGCCCAGACGCCUACAGGAGGCAGCGGUGGGGAAUAUUGCACAAUGGGCGGAAGCCUGAUGCAGCAGCGCCGCGUGCGGGAUGACGGCCUUCGGGUUGUAAACCGCUUUCGCCUGUGACGAAGCGUGAGUGACGGUAAUGGGUGAAGAAGCACCGGCUAACUACGUG
rnacentral:rRNA from 1 species